rnacentral:tRNA from 1 species
GCCUGGAUGGCUCAGUGGUUGAGCAUCUGCCUUCGGAGCAGGGCGUGAUCUCGGAGCCUGGGAUCGAGUCCCACAUCGGGCU